rnacentral:rRNA from 1 species
AUUGAACGCUGGCGGCAUGCCUUACACAUGCAAGUCGAACGGUAACAGGUCUUCGGAUGCUGACGAGUGGCGAACGGGUGAGUAAUGCAUCGGAACGUGCCCAGUCGUGGGGGAUAACUGCUCGAAAGAGCAGCUAAUACCGCAUACGACCUGAGGGUGAAAGCGGGGGACCGUAAGGCCUCGCGCGAUUGGAGCGGCCGAUGUCAGAUUAGCUAGUUGGUGGGGGAACGGCCUACCAAGGCAACGAUCUGUAGUUGGUCCGAGAGGACGACCAGCCACACUGGGACUGAGACACGGCCCAGACUCCUACGGGAGGCAGCAGUGGGGAAUUUUGGACAAUGGGCGCAAGCCUGAUCCAGCAAUGCCGCGUGCAGGAAGAAGGCCUUCGGGUUGUAAACUGCUUUUGUCAGGGAAGAAAUCCUCUGGGUUAAUACCUCGGGGGGAUGACGGUACCCGAAGAAUAAGCACCGGCUAACUACGUGCCAGCCGCCGCCGUAAAAC